AGACCCGAAACCCGGUGAUCUAGCCAUGGGCAGGUUGAAGGUUGGGUAACACUAACUGGAGGACCGAACCGACUAAUGUUGAAAAAUUAGCGGAUGACCUGUGGCUGGGGGUGAAAGGCCAAUCAAACCGGGAGAUAGCUGGUUCUCCCCGAAAGCUAUUUAGGUAGCGCCUCGUGAAUUCAUCUCCGGGGGUAGAGCACUGUUUCGGCUAGGGGGCCAUCCCGGCUUACCAACCCGAUGCAAACUGCGAAUACCGGAGAAUGUUAUCACGGGAGACACACGGCGGGUGCUAACGUCCGUCGUGAAGAGGGAAACAACCCAGACCGCCAGCUAAGGUCCCAAAGUCAUGGUUAAGUGGGAAACGAUGUGGGAAGGCCCAGACAGCCAGGAUGUUGGCUUAGAAGCAGCCAUCAUUUAAAGAAAGCGUAAUAGCUCACUGGUCGAGUCGGCCUGCGCGGAAGAUGUAACGGGGCUAAACCAUGCACCGAAGCUGCGGCAGCGACGCUUAUGCGUUGUUGGGUAGGGGAGCGUUCUGUAAGCCUGCGAAGGUGGCCUGUGAGGGUUGCUGGAGGUAUCAGAAGUGCGAAUGCUGACAUAAGUAACGAUAAAGCGGGUGAAAAGCCCGCUCGCCGGAAGACCAAGGGUUCCUGUCCAACGUUAAUCGGGGCAGGGUGAGUCGACCCCUAAGGCGAGGCCGAAAGGCGUAGUCGAUGGGAAACGGGUUAAUAUUCCCGUACUUGGUGUUACUGCGAAGGGGGGACGGAGAAGGCUAUGUUGGCCGGGCGACGGUUGUCCCGGUUUAAGCGUGUAGGUGUGUGUUCCAGGUAAAUCCGGUUCACUUUAACACUGAGGCGUGACGACGAGGCACUACGGUGCUGAAGCAACAAAUGCCCUGCUUCCAGGAAAAGCCUCUAAGCAUCAGGUAACAUCAAAUCGUACCCCAAACCGACACAGGUGGUCAGGUAGAGAAUACCAAGGCGCUUGAGAGAACUCGGGUGAAGGAACUAGGCAAAAUGGUGCCGUAACUUCGGGAGAAGGCACGCUGACACGUAGGUGAAGUGAUUUACUCAUGGAGCUGAAGUCAGUCGAAGAUACCAGCUGGCUGCAACUGUUUAUUAAAAACACAGCACUGUGCAAACACGAAAGUGGACGUAUACGGUGUGACGCCUGCCCGGUGCCGGAAGGUUAAUUGAUGGGGUCAGCGCAAGCGAAGCUCCUGAUCGAAGCCCCGGUAAACGGCGGCCGUAACUAUAACGGUCCUAAGGUAGCGAAAUUCCUUGUCGGGUAAGUUCCGACCUGCACGAAUGGCGUAAUGAUGGCCAGGCUGUCUCCACCCGAGACUCAGUGAAAUUGAACUCGCUGUGAAGAUGCAGUGUACCCGCGGCAAGACGGAAAGACCCCGUGAACCUUUACUAUAGCUUGACACUGAACAUUGAGCCUUGAUGUGUAGGAUAGGUGGGAGGCUUUGAAGCGUGGACGCCAGUCUGCGUGGAGCCGACCUUGAAAUACCACCCUUUAAUGUUUGAUGUUCUAACGUGGACCCGUUACCCGGGUUGCGGACAGUGUCUGGUGGGUAGUUUGACUGGGGCGGUCUCCUCCUAAAGAGUAACGGAGGAGCACGAAGGUUGGCUAAUCCUGGUCGGACAUCAGGAGGUUAGUGCAAUGGCAUAAGCCAGCUUGACUGCGAGCGUGACGGCGCGAGCAGGUGCGAAAGCAGGUCAUAGUGAUCCGGUGGUUCUGAAUGGAAGGGCCAUCGCUCAACGGAUAAAAGGUACUCCGGGGAUAACAGGCUGAUACCGC
rnacentral:rRNA from 1 species